rnacentral:rRNA from 1 species
UCAGGCCUAACACAUGCAAGUCGAACGGUAACAGGAAACAGCUUGCUGUUUCGCUGACGAGUGGCGGACGGGUGAGUAAUGUCUGGGAAGCUGCCUGAUGGAGGGGGAUAACUACUGGAAACGGUAGCUAAUACCGCAUAAUGUCGCAAGACCAAAGAGGGGGACCUUCGGGCCUCUUGCCAUCGGAUGUGCCCAGAUGGGAUUAGCUUGUUGGUGGGGUAACGGCUCACCAAGGCGACGAUCCCUAGCUGGUCUGAGAGGAUGACCAGCCACACUGGAACUGAGACACGGUCCAGACUCCUACGGGAGGCAGCAGUGGGGAAUAUUGCACAAUGGGCGCAAGCCUGAUGCAGCCAUGCCGCGUGUA